rnacentral:rRNA from 1 species
GGAAUCUUCGGCAAUGGGGGCAACCCUGACCGAGCAACGCCGCGUGAGUGAAGAAGGUUUUCGGAUCGUAAAACUCUGUUGUUAGAGAAGAACACGAGUGAGAGUAACUGUUCAUACGUUGACGGUAUUUAACCAGAAAGUCACGGCUAACUACGUGCCAG